rnacentral:rRNA from 1 species
CCAAUAGCGUAUAUUAAAGUUGUUGCAGUUAAAAAGCUCGUAGUUGAAUUUCGGGAUCAAUAUGUCGGUCGUGCCUCGGUACGUACUAGCUUAUUGGUUUCUCCUUUCUGAAGAACCAUGAUGUCAUUUAUUUGGUGUCGUGGGGAAUCAGGACUGUUACUUUGAAAAAAUUAGAGUGUUUAAAGCAGGCUCACGCUUGAAUACAUUAGCAUGGCAUAAUGAAAUAGGCCGUUUGAUUCUAUUUUGUUGGUUUUUAGGAUCGACGUAAUGAUUAAUAGGGAUAGUUGGGGGCAUUAGUAUUCAAUUGUCAGAGGUGAAAUUCUUGGAUUUAUUGAAGACUAACUACUGCGAAAGCAUUUGCCAAGGAUGUUUUCAUUAAUCAAGAACGAAAGUUAGGGGAUCGAAGACGAUCAGAUACCGUCGUAGUCUUAACCAUAAACUAUGCCGACUAGGGAUCGGAUGAUGUUAAUUUUUUAAUGACUCAUUCGGCGCCUUAC